UGGACUUCUUUUCCAUGGGAAUGGAGGCAGGCGAAGUAGUAAAGGUAUCCUCUUCUUUGGCCGACAAUCAAGACCUUGUAAUAGAAAUCCUCUCACAGUUACCUAUCAAAUCUUUAGUUAGGUUUAUGUGUGUGUCGCAAGAGUGGUCUGCUCUCAUAAAAAGCUCUCGUUUCAUUGCAAUUCACCAAAAAUGCCUUCAACGAUUGAAUCCUCCGAAUCUCUGUUUACUCUACGGUCACAGUUCCGGAAGUAGAUUUGCUAAAUAUCCCAAGCACCAUGGGAUUUCAUUGCUUGGCAAAGACACACAUUUGGAGGGAUUAGAUCUGCCUGAACGUGUCCAGCAAGACUCUUAUGAUAGGUUGAUACUUAUUGCGGGAUCUAGCAAUGGUCUAGUCUGCCUUUAUCCUCUUAACACUCCAAAGGAGAUAAUCGUCGUGUGGAACCCAGCAACAAGACAGCAUAGUCGUGAGGAUUUCCCACAGCAAGGAUCGUGAUGCUGAUGGAAGGUUUACAUACCUAACCCAAGUCUUCACCCGAAGUGAGAAGUCAUGGAGAGAAGUUAAAAACUGUAUUCCACCAGGCGAUUAUAACUUUGAACCAGGCUCUUCAAUUUCUUCGAAUGGUGUGGUGUAUUGCUUGGCAAGGACUAAGGGUGUUCCUUUUGUUUUCUCCUUCAAUCUGCAUGAUGAGGUAAUCCAUAACAUGCCAAUGCCGCCUCGUUACAGUCUUUUUUAUGGCCAACGUCUCUUUACGUGGGAAAAUUCAGUUGCAUUUUUAACCCAUGUUGAACGUAAGUAUGAUCUUUGGGUAAUGGAGAAAGAAUCCGGUACACAAAUGCCUACUUGGAAUUGGACUGCGCAAUUUACAAUCAAAAAUCUGCCACAAUUUAUGGAUUUAAUCUUUGUAUUCUGGGAUGGUUUAUUUCUGUUUGUCAAAAGGCAGGUCAGAGCUGGACAAGAUCUGGUUACGUAUGAUCGAGCUACAACCGGAGCGAUGAAGGCUUUCAAACUUGCAACAGGGAACUCAUGCCUUCAAGUGGUAGAUUACGUUCAGAGCUUGGUUUCAGUAUUCUAAGUGCGAGUAGAUGAAGUAGUGGAAUAUGUACCGGGUGCAACCGAUGUAUCUUUGAUCUUCAAUUGAAAUGAACGUUUUUGAUGGACCUUUCAUCAACUCAUUAUUCGGCCAAUAAUGUUUUUAUUUCUACGUUUUUGGGUCGUAUAAUUGCUAUCUUAGAAUGUUGUUGACCGACUCCUCAUUGAAAUUUUCAUUCGUGGUGCUGCUUUCAUAUGAAAGAACAGAGCAUGCAGAUGAUGAGUACGGUGCACAAAACUAAACUAUUUACAGGCAAAGACUAAAGAUGAAUGGCUCCUUCUAACUCCAUUUGGAGUUUUGAAUGAUAAAAACAUAGAGGGCCCUGGU